UACGGUAAGGCCGGUUGCGCUGCUCGCUGACGCGGCGCCACGACGCCCGGAGCUGCAUGUUCAUCUUUCCUUCCUGUCCCCGAUUUCUUCUCCGGCAACGCUGAUGUUGCUGUCGUGGGAGCUGCAGGUUCAUCGUUUCUUCCUGUCCCCGAUUUCUUCACCGGCAACCCUGAUCUUGCUUCCGUGGGAGCUGCAGGCCCAAUCUUCUCUUCCUGUCCCCGAUUUCUUCUCCGGCAACGCUGAUCUUCCUCCCAUUGUCGUCUCUCAGAUGGAUGUGGAGGGGGAUUGGCAUUUCCCCCCCAACUCUGGUGGAGAUGCGCCUGGUGCAGGAUCUGAGCACCGUCGCAAAGCGCACGAGGCGACCGAUCUGCUGGAUUUCGCUCUGGCAGCCGCCUGUUUGGACGGAGAAGUUCCCGUUAGCGGACAAGACGCCGGUGACCCCCAAAUCGCUGCUGUUCUGUGGAGCGAGAAGGAACCGGUCUUCGUCUCAGGCGAGGAUGACCGGGCAGGGUGAUUGGCUUCCUGGCCCGAGCUUUUCUAGCGAUGCGGUGGGAGCUGGCGAGGAGUUGCUGGCGACUCAGUUGGAUGCGUCGCCCCCAAGUGCAUCUAUCGGCUGGGGCUUGCUGCUUUGGCCCUGCAGGAGAAGCGACCGGAGGCAAGAAUACCACUGGCGUUGAGUCGUGGGACGGCGAACGAGCUAGUACAAGUUGGUUCGGAUUUGCAUCUCCGGCCCUACAUCUCUGUCUCCUCCUCUUCCUGCUCCACCUCCAGGAUCGGCGUGGCCUUGUCCCCAGUUGUCCGGCGCUGCCGCGGCAGCAGGGCGGAGCACUCGUGGGACGCCGCCGGCGACGGCGCAAUGAUGGUGGGGCGCGAAGACGUGCGCAUGGCGGUGCUGUCAGCGUCCAACACUUGCCCUUCCAGCUCCUCGACGACACGCAGAUGGGCCUCGCCACCGGCGUGCUCGGCGGCCUCCGCAAGGCUCAGAUACUCCCGCGCUGCCCCCGCAGCCGCGGCUGUUCAUCCGGCCAGUACAGGGUCGUCCACCUCGCCAUGAAGAAGGCGAAAUUGUGCGUGCCACGGCCGCCCUGCACCAAGCUUCUUUCACGGCCGCCUCUGCCACCGUCACGUUGUGCUAUCCAUAUUCAUCUUCGUUAGCCAAGAGUUUCAGACUGUAAGCUAGCACACGAGACGGAGAGUGGGCUGUUCAGUUCUUCAGUUAAUCCCUCCCAUCUCCCAGGGAUCUUUUUGGGAGGUGCUUCUCUUGAUGUAAACGUCUGUUCUUUGAUUUUUUAAAAAAUGGGAUCGAUUCUUUGCAAUC